GGAAUCGUUUAGAUCAAGGUAACAAGAUUAAUUUUCUUUUGCAAAAUGUAAAAUUACAAAUAUUAGGAUUUAAAAGAGUUAGAGUUGUAUUUCUCUGAGAUAUCACCAUAACUAUUGGCUAAACUUAUAGUCGAAGGCAUACGAGAAAAAAGAUGAAAUAUUGGAACAUAUAAAGAAAGAAGAUUCUAAGGAAAAAUAUUCUAAAGAAUAAGCUAAGUGGUUAACUGGGGGAAAGCAGCAGAUCUUUGAUUCUGCAUUUCUAAAUGCAUAAUUUGCUUGUUGAAGAUAACAAAAAUACAGACUUGCAGCUAACAAUUGCAAGAUUUUAAUUGCGAAACCCAGAAGAACGAAACUCGCGUCUUAAGUCCAGAAUUAUGGGUGUAUGAUUCUACUAAGAUACUUUGUAUCCCAAGAAUAUUUAUCGUUUAGGAGCAAUCUGAAAAGUCUAUUUUGAUCUUUUUAGAGAUAUGAAAUAAACAAGUCAAAAGAAAGGGGUAUCGUCCAUACUACUAUCAAUACGAAGCGGUCAUUCAACGAAAUUUUCAUAAAUGACGAGACCAUAAAAGCGGCGAUGUACCAUGAAUUAAUGCGAUAGAAUAUAAAGAUUAAAAAGCAAUUUCUGCAGCAUACUUCGUUUUAUAUGGUCGAAGGAGAAUUAAUAUUUGUGAAAAUCGUGAAAUGUAUGAUAACU